rnacentral:rRNA from 1 species
UACGGAGGGGACUAGCGUUGUUCGGAAUUACUGGGCGUAAAGCGCGCGUAGGCGGAUCGCUAAGUCAGGGGUGAAAUCCCGGGGCUCAACCCCGGAACUGCCUUUGAUACUGGCAAUCUUGAGUUCGAGAGAGGUGUGUGGAAUUCCGAGUGUAGAGGUGAAAUUCGUAGAUAUUCGGAAGAACACCAGUGGCGAAGGCGGCUCACUGGCCCGGUACUGACGCUGAGGUGCGAAAGCGUGGGGAGCAAACAGG